GUCAGUGAUUCUAGCGCUCUGGAACUACCUGAUUCCAUUCCGAACUCAGAAGUAAAACGGAGCAGCGGGGACGAUAGUUGUCCGGCAACGGACCGCGAAAAUACUUCAUUGCUGAUC
rfam:Microgenomates (Woesebacteria) bacterium GW2011_GWB1_43_14 TV74_C0002, whole genome shotgun sequence.